AGUGAACGCUGGCGGUAGGCCUAACACAUGCAAGUCGAACGGCAGCACAGUAAGAGCUUGCUCUUACGGGUGGCGAGUGGCGGACGGGUGAGGAAUACAUCGGAAUCUACUUUUUCGUGGGGGAUAACGUAGGGAAACUUACGCUAAUACCGCAUACGACCUACGGGUGAAAGCAGGGGAUCUUCGGACCUUGCGCGAUUGAAUGAGCCGAUGUCGGAUUAGCUAGUUGGCGGGGGAAAGGCCCACCAAGGCGACGAUCCGUAGCUGGUCUGAGAGCAUGAUCAGCCACACUGGAACUGAGACACGGUCCUGCCUCCUACGGGCGGCAGCGGUGGGGAAUAUUGGCCAAUGGGCGCAAGCCUGAUCCAGCCAUACCGCGUGGGUGAAGAAGCCCUUCGGGUUGUAAAGCCCUUUUGUUGGGAAAGAAAAGCAGCAGGUUAAUCCCCCGCUGUUCUGACGGUACCCAAAGAAUAAGCACCGGCUACCUUCUU
rnacentral:rRNA from 1 species